UAUCACAGCCUGCUUUGACGAGC
rnacentral:miRNA from 1 species